rnacentral:rRNA from 1 species
AUUGAACGCUGGCGGCAGGCUUAACACAUGCAAGUCGAGCGGGGGAAGGUAGCUUGCUACUGGACCUAGCGGCGGACGGGUGAGUAAUGCUUAGGAAUCUGCCUAUUAGUGGGGGACAACAUCUCGAAAGGGAUGCUAAUACCGCAUACGUCCUACGGGAGAAAGCAGGGGAUCUUCGGACCUUGCGCUAAUAGAUGAGCCUAAGUCGGAUUAGCUAGUUGGUGGGGUAAAGGCCUACCAAGGCGACGAUCUGUAGCGGGUCUGAGAGGAUGAUCCGCCACACUGGGACUGAGACACGGCCCAGACUCCUACGGGAGGCAGCAGUGGGGAAUAUUGGACAAUGGGGGGAACCCUGAUCCAGCCAUGCCGCGUGUGUGAAGAAGGCCUUAUGGUUGUAAAGCACUUUAAGCGAGGAGGAGGCUACUUUAGUUAAUACCUAGAGAUAGUGGACGUUACUCGCAGAAUAAGCACCGGCUAACUCUGUGCCAGCAGCCGCGGUAAUACAGAGGGUGCGAGCGUUAAUCGGAUUUACUGGGCGUAAAGCGUGCGUAGGCGGCUUAUUAAGUCGGAUGUGAAAUCCCCGAGCUUAACUUGGGAAUUGCAUUCGAUACUGGUGAGCUAGAGUAUGGGAGAGGAUGGUAGAAUUCCAGGUGUAGCGGUGAAAUGCGUAGAGAUCUGGA